rnacentral:rRNA from 1 species
GACGAACGCUGGCGGCGUGCUUAACACAUGCAAGUCGAACGGAAAGGCCCUGCUUUUGUGGGGUGCUCGAGUGGCGAACGGGUGAGUAACACGUGAGUAACCUGCCCUUGACUUUGGGAUAACUUCAGGAAACUGGGGCUAAUACCGGAUAGGAGCUCCUGCUGCAUGGUGGGGGUUGGAAAGUUUCGGCGGUUGGGGAUGGACUCGCGGCUUAUCAGCUUGUUGGUGGGGUAGUGGCUUACCAAGGCUUUGACGGGUAGCCGGCCUGAGAGGGUGACCGGCCACAUUGGGACUGAGCUACGGCCCAGACUCCUACGGGAGGCAGCAGUGGGGAAUAUUGCGCAAUGGGCGGAAGCCUGAUGCAGCAACGCCGCGUGCGGGAUGACGGCCUUCGGGUUGUAAACCGCUUUCGCCUGUGACGAAGCGUGAGUGACGGUAAUGGGUAAAGAAGCACCGGCUAACUACGUG